rnacentral:tRNA from 1 species
GAGGGCAUAGCUCAAUGGUAGACUGUGUGCAUAGUGUGCAUGAGGUCCUGGGUUCAAACCCCAGUACCUCUG